CUUCUGGCUUUGGCAGCCUCAGCUGCAGGACACAAACAAUCUAGGGCUGCUGGGCUGGAGCUGCCGGGGCCAGGAGGAAGGUGGGGAUGGGGGCAUGGCCUGGAGGGGCAGCUCCUGGGGGCACUCACCGUGGAAGGGCUCUGGCAGAGCUGUUCUGUAGCAUCAGUGACACCUGGCAACUGCAUUCGCCAACCCGGUUCCUGAAGAAUUCCAAAGAUCAAUAAAGAUCAAGAGGCCCUCUGGGCAAAGGGCCUGUUCAGUGUGGACUUGAUCACAGGCUGCUGGCCAGCGGGGAAGAUGGAAGUCGCCGGCUUGACUGAGACAUUCACCCCAGCCUUAGAUUUAGGGCAGGACCCUCUCACUGUGUGGUCACCCUUUAUUUUCUCAGCUCUUAUUUAAAAAGAAGAAGAAAAAAAGAAUGUCUGGACAACAGCUAAGGCAGGCAUCCAGAAAUAGGAACACUUUUCUUAGAACACAGCCCAGAUGCAAACAUCAGGAGCAGACACUGCCCAGAUGGCGGCUUUACCCCAGCUGGACUCCUCUGAGGCUUUGGUGGUGGACAGCCCUGUGCCGCAAGCUGGAGUAAGCCGAUUCUCCCCAUGGGGGAAGCAGGCCUGGAAAUGUAGCAGUGUGCCUCAUGGAAAUGUAGCAGUGUGCCUCAUGGAAAUGUAGCAGUGUGCCUCAUGGAAAUGUAGCAGUGUGCCUCAUGGAGCUGACCUUCCCAUGUAACCUAGCAAGCCCUUGAAAAGGAGAGAAAAAAGUAAUGGGGAAAGGUAGCCUCCCUGUGGUAGUUUUAAAAUGUCUGCAAAUUCUUCUCUCCAAGAGGUGGAACUGAAUUUACCUCCCCUUGAGUACGGGCUGUACUUAGUGACUCACUUCUAACAAAGUCGGAAGUGAUGGCGUGUGGCUUCCAAGGGUAGGUCUUAAAAGACACUGCAAGCUCUGACCUGGGCUCCCUCUUCGAUCACUAGCUCUGGGGAAGCCAGCUGCCAUGCUAAAAAAGACACUCAAGCAGCCCCACGGAGAGGUCCACAACGCAAGGAGCUGAGUCCUCCCACCAACAGCCAGUGAGGAGCCGAGGCCUCCCACCUACAACCAGUGAGGAGCUGAGGCCUCCUGCCACAGUCACGGGAGUGAGCCUUGGAAGCAGAUCCUCCAGUGUCCGUCAGGCCUUCAGAAACUGCAGCCCCUGC
rnacentral:lncRNA from 10 species